GCCUCGUUAGCGCAGUAGGCAGGUCGUCAGUCUUAUAAUCAAAUCUAGAAAUCUGAAGGUCGUGAGUUCGAUCCUCACACGGGGCA
rfam:Nematostella vectensis strain CH2 x CH6 NEMVEscaffold_492_Cont28635, whole genome shotgun sequence.